GACGAACGCUGGCGGCGUGCCUAAUACAUGCAAGUCGAGCGAUGGGACUUGGAGCUUGUUCCGAUGGUGUUAGCAGCGAACGGGUGAGUAACGCGUGGGGAACCUACCUUUAAGAGUGGGACAACAUUGGGAAACCGAUGCUAAUACCGCAUGAUAUUUUGAACCACAAGGUUCAAAUUUGAAAGACGUUAUUGCUUUAACUUAUAGAUAGCUCCCGUCUGCUUUAUCUAGUGGGUAGGUUAACGGCCUACAAAGGGAAGAAUGGUUACCCAACCUGAGAGGGUGACCGCCCCAACUGGACCUGGACCACGCUCCAGACUCCUGCGGGAGGCAGCGGUAGGAAAUUUUCCGAAAUGGGGGAAAGCCUGACGGAGAACCGCCGCGUGAGUGAUGAAGGUCUUCGGUUCGUAAACCUCUGUUAUUGGGGAGGACCAUAUGUGUAAGUAAAUGCGCACAUCGUGACGGUACCUAAUCAGAAAGCCACGGCUAACUACGUG
rnacentral:rRNA from 1 species